AUGUUCAAAUCCAGUUUUCUCCCCAGUUCAGAACUGUCUACUGCUCUGUCUCUCCUGACUGCUAGAUCUCCUCUGUGUGAGACCCUCCUGAGAGCAGGUUGGGGCCCGGUGGGGCCUCUGCUGGACUCGGGGCUGGAGCUGGGGCUGGGCCACAGGGAAGAGAAGAUGUCAAAGCCAAGGCUUGUGCCGUUGGAAGCACAGAGGACGCAGCCUCUACAGGAACUGCCCGGCAUGGGCGUGCUGCAUGGUGACAAGCAGCGUUUCUUUGAUGCAGAUAGAAAUUGCCCAGAUACACUUGAUGUAUGGAACUCCACUAAGCUUUCUGAGGACUCUCCAGGAGGCGCUGGGAUCUCCUGCCGGGGCUCCCUGAGGCCCUUCCACCACCUCAUCAACGCUUUGGGCGGCUGCAGAGUAAGUGAUGCUCACAAACCAAGCCGUCAAAUUGCAACAGAUUGCACUACUGAAUUCUGGGAACGUCAGCCUGGGCCAUCAAAGAGGUUCGUUCGAGGGCACCCCCCGUGAGACGUGGGCAGAGCACAGGGUGGAAUCUGGGGUCCGACUCCCACCCGAAACGGCGGCCUGAGGCCCACCUGCUUCCUGGGGGACUGGUGCCCGUGCGCCUGGCUGGGCUCCGACACCGAUUAGAAUGUGCGGAUUCAAGCUCCCUCUGCGUAACUCAGGCAGACGGGGGUUGCUUUGUAGGAACCUGCCUGUUUUAAAGUUUUCUUUUAACCCAGUGACUUUGAAAUUUCUCAGUAUUUUUUGUGUGAGUGAAAAGAGAGUCAGACAGAGGAGAGCUGACGUUCCCUAGGGCAAAUCGUGUUUUCCGGCUCUUCUUUAUACCAAAGUCCUUCCUGCAUUUUAUCUUAUAUCUCCUCCUACAAGCUAAAGAUUUGAGCAGCUCCUCUUUUCUCACCAAAUUUAAGGAUGGACGUUGCAAGGACACCCACCGCCCGCUGGAUCUUAGAUGCUUUGUGCCAUGUAUAGAAGUAAAUGCAGGUGUUUUCAUUAACCCCGAACCUUGUUGUUUGACACUGGCAAUUUUAUUAAAGCUCCUGGAUCCCCAAAUUCUC
rnacentral:lncRNA from 1 species